UACGUAGGGGGCUAGCGUUGUCCGGAUUUAUUGGGCGUAAAGAGCGUGUAGGCGGCCAUGUAGGUCCGGUGUGAAAACUCGAGGCUUAACCUCGAGAUGUCAUCGGAAACCAUUUGGCUAGAGUCCGGAAGAGGAGAGUGGAAUUCCUGGUGUAGCGGUGAAAUGCGCAGAUAUCAGGAAGAACACCAAUGGCGAAGGCAGCUCUCUGGGCCGAUAUCGACGCUGAGGAGCGAAAGCGUGGGGAGCGAACAGG
rnacentral:rRNA from 1 species